rnacentral:misc_RNA from 1 species
CUUACCGCUCUCUUCGCGGUGGCGAAUAGGGGAGAGAGACGUUUUCGCUAGUGCUCGUUAACCUGCGAUGUCGAGUUGAUUUUUAAUCCUUAGUACGCUCGGAGCACCUUUUUAAAUUGGAUCGGAGCGCUAAAUAUGGCCAGCAAAGUAUGGCACACAGAAUUAUGGAAGUCAUGGGAUAAGCAUGGAAGAAACGAUUUCCUCAAGCUUAUCAAGCACAAAUUUAAGGAAGGCAACACAUCAGAAUGGAGACGUGGAUUAUACGAAUUACUAUCAAAUGGAAUCCAUGGGAACAUAAAAAAGGACAGUGUAACCCAGACGUUAGGUGAACUUACGAAUUUGGAUGGUGCAAUACCAUCUGUAAUAGUAGACUUGUUAACUUUAUUCGAUGCGGAGGUACAAAAUGAAGAGAGGAACAACUUUUAUUAUUUCGUGAAAGAAUGUGAAAAGUUUUUAACAGACAGAAUAUUAAAAGAACGUUUAGAAAUUGAGACUUUGCAAGAUGUUGGAACAUUAAAAAACAAAAAUUUUCAAACAAAAUUUAUAAAAGUGAAAACGAAAUUAUAUUACAAGCAAAGGAAAUUCAAUUUAUUUCGUGAAGAGAGUGAGGGUUAUUCCAAGCUCAUUGUAGAAUUAAAUCAAGAAUAUCAAGGCGAUGAUGUGGCUCCAACACUGGAAAUUGUUAAGUCUCUUAUUGGAUAUUUCAAUCUUGACCCUAAUAGAGUACUCGACAUCUUGCUAGAAACGUUUGAAAAUCGAGCACAGGACGAUGCUCUGUUUAUUCCCUUAAUACGCUCAUACAUGAGCGAUCAGCAGGUACUCUGCGAGGUACUAGGAUUCAAGUAUUGCUCCACUGUCAACGCCACGCCGUUCUCACUGCAAAAGGUUACCGCGCUCAUGCUACAGCAUAACGUGAUCCAAUUGGACGACAUAUUGCCUUGGCUAAUGCCAGACGAUAAAACUAUCAUAUCUGAUCACGAGCAGGCGAUGAAACAGGCUAAGGAAUAUGUGCGAAAAAUGAGCGUAAUUUCUACUAAAGACAAGGAGGAAGUUGCAGAAGAGAAGGACAAUUCACAAGAAAAGUACGCAAGCAAUCAAAAGUUUGGGCUAUGCGAGGCCCUCUUAGAAGUCGGAGCUUGGCAGGUGGCUCAAAGAUUAUUUAAUCGCUUACCAGAUUAUUGUCUCACCGAUCAGCGUCCCAUAGCUUUAGCACUGUGUAAAAUGAUUCAGGCCCUUAUCGAACCCGUGUAUAGAAAACACUGCAUUAUUUCUCCGAAAUUACCAGGCCGUAAAGUGCCUCCCUUAAAGAGCUCGCUCGCGCCAGCGCCGAUACAAAACCUAGAUGACAUUCAUGAUCACUUGCUGCCAAUGCUGAUUGUCCUUGGACCGAAUCUGCACCACGAUCCUAUUCUUAUGUACAAGGUGAUGAGGUUGUGCAAUGCCGCCCUCAAACCGCUGGACGAGAACAAUCAACCGUUGAACAAAGACAGCAGAUUAUACUAUGAUGUACUGACGAUUCUCGAUGUCGCGUUACUGCCCUCCCUUUCUUUCAUGGAUUGCAACUGCUGUGUAGCUGAGGAAUUGUGGAACACCCUCAAGUGCUAUCCAUACCAAAAUCGCUACUGCCUGUACGCGCGCUGGAAGAACGAAACACCGUUGCAGCACGCGGCUCUCUUGCGAAAACGCGCGGAUGCCCAAAAGAAGAUCAAGUCGAUCAUGAAGCGAGUGAGUAAGGAAACGAUUAAGCCCGUCGGUCGUUCAAUCGGCAAGCUUACUCAUUCUUCGCCAGGAGUACUCUUCGAUUAUGUCCUCGUACAGAUUCAGUUGUACGACAAUCUUAUAGGACCUGUGGUGGAUUCUUUAAAAUAUUUGACAAAUAUUUCGUACGAUGUAUUAGGAUACUGCCUUGUAGAGGCAUUAGCAAGCGCUGAUAGAGAUAGAUUUAAACACGACGGCACCAGUAUAUCUUUAUGGCUGCAAUCUUUAGCUUCCUUUUGCGGAGCGAUAUUUAAAAAAUAUAACAUCGAACUCAAAGGGUUAUUACAAUACGUAGCGAAUCAACUUAAAGCUCAAAAGAGCUUAGAUCUAUUAAUAUUAAAAGAGAUAGUACAAAAAAUGGCUGGGAUCGAAGCAGCCGAAGAAAUGACGUCUGAUCAAUUAGACGCAAUGGCAGGUGGAGAUUUAUUGAAGAACGAGGCCGGUUACUUCAGCCAAGUUCGCAAUACGAAGAAGUCCUCAAUGCGUUUAAAGGAUGCUCUGGCCGAACAUGAUCUCGCAGUUGCUUUAUGUCUAUUAAUGGCUCAACAGAAACAUUGUGUCGUUUAUAGAGAAACCGACAAAUCUCAUCUCAAGCUCGUUGGCAAGCUGUACGAUCAAUGUCAGGAUACAUUGGUACAAUUUGGAACGUUUUUGGGGUCGACUAUGACUGUGGACGAAUACGUAAGACGAUUACCUUCAAUCCAUUCUAUGCUUCAGGACAAUCAUAUACAUUCAGAUGUCGCAUUUUUCCUGGCAAGACCGAUGUUCGCACACGCCAUAAAUACGAAAUACGAUUCUCUCCGCAAAGCCGAUGCAAAUUAUAAAAAAAUGUCUACGGCUAUGAAACAAUUAAAAUAUGCGGAGGCAGCGCAAGCCGUUAUGGCACCUGUUGCCCAAUCAGUCAGACCAUUACACCCUCUGAAAGUGUGGGAAGAUAUAUCGCCGCAAUUCCUGGUCACAUUUUGGUCUCUGUCAAUGUACGACUUGUACGUACCAGUAGAAAGUUACCAGAGGGAAGUCAGCAAACUGAAGCAAUUAGCGACGCAAACUGCUGACUCCAAAGAUAUGAAUGUGAGUAAAGGGAAAAAAGAACAAGAGAGGUACACCACUCUGAUCGAAAAACUGCAAGAAGAAAAGAGAAAGCAAGAGGAACACGUUGAGAAAGUUUUUGCGUACCUGAGACAAGAGAAGGAUACAUGGUUCUUAUCGCGAAGCGCCAAAUCUGCGAAGAACGAGACGAUAACACAGUUUCUACAGUUAUGCCUAUUUCCGCGGUGUACAUUCACGACUGUGGACGCCAUGUAUUGUGCGAAAUUUGUACAUACCAUCCACUCCCUGAAGACUGCGAACUUUUCAACCUUGCUUUGCUACGAUCGUCUUUUCUGUGAUAUUACAUAUUCAGUCACUUCGUGCACAGAGAACGAAGCGAAUCGAUAUGGGAGAUUUUUGUGCGCCAUGCUGGAGACUGUGAUGAGGUGGCAUUCAGAGAAAGCCAUUUUCGAUAAGGAAUGCAGCAAUUAUCCGGGAUUCGUGACAAAAUUCCGCGUAAGCAAUCAAUUUUCUGAAGCAAAUGAUAUGGUUGGGUUCGAAAAUUACAGACAUGUCUGUCACAAGUGGCAUUAUAAAAUCACAAAGGCUAUUGUAGUAUGUCUUGACUCCAAGGAUUACGUGCAGAUUAGGAAUUCAUUAAUAAUAUUGAUCAAGAUAUUACCACAUUUUCCUGUCUUGGCAAAACUCUCUCAGAUUCUCGAACGAAAGGUAGAGAAGGUGAGAGAAGAAGAGCGUGGCCAGCGUCAAGACUUACAUGUCCUGGCCACGUCCUAUAGUGGACAACUGAAAGCCAAAACUCCCAGUAUGAUACGUGAAUCAGAUUUUCAUCACGUAGGCGAUAAGGCUGGGAAGACACAAGAUACUACAAAUAAUGAUACAAACGAAAAAGUCAGUAAUGGAGUAACGGUGAAAGAAAUUAAUAAUGGAGAUAAUCGACCAGAAAAGGAAAAUAAAGAACAACGAGAAAAACGGAAUUCAUCUAAUCCAGCACAUCAUGAAAACACAGAAAAGCUCAGAAAGAAAGAAGAUAGCAAAGAUGUUUCAGAAGCAAAAGAAAAACACGUGAAAAAAGAAGAAGUGAAGGAAGAAGAAGGACAAGAUAAAAAGGAACGCAAAUAUUAUAAGGAAGAGCACUAUUAUAGCGGUGGUGUAGACAAUUUAGAUCGAGAUCUUUCUAGUGUGUCAAAUAGUAGUGCCAGUUCAGGACCGACACAAGAAGGCCUUGAAAGAGACGCAAAAAGAAGAAAAGUAGAGAGCGCUCCAAAGCAGGAAGGAAGGCGAGUGGAACCUACCCUUGAUAAGAAAGAACGCUCCAGCAAAGGGAAAACGCGCGAUGAACAGAAAGAGCUGCGUAGGGAAAAAAAACAGGGACGAAAAAGGGAUCGAACGGAUGAAUCUGUGGCGACUACUGAACAAAAGCGAAGAAAGGAUGAUGAAAGAGCCAAAGGGACACAUCAGAACGGCGACAUUCCUGAGCAUAGAGAGAAACAUCAUUACAGUAAGUUGAUAAAGACGUCUACUUCGAGUACGUUAAAGGGACGAAAUGGACGGCAAUAGCAAAAACAAGAAAGUAUAGGUGACAGUCUCAAGUACCCAAUGUCAGCCGCAAGAAAUCGUGACAUACGGAAGAUUCAUUCAAGAAUCUAUUUUCAGGAAAAAUCUCCAUACGCAAAGGAUCGUCCUCAUGAACGCGAAGGCCGUGAGAAUCGUGAUAAACACAGGAGGAGUUCAGACCCGAAACGGAGAUGAUGUACAACAACGGAGAAGAUUCCGACUUAACAUUUUUUAUGCUAUGUUUGGUGUUGCAUGUAAUGAUUGUAGAAUUCGAAAUAAAGUAAGAAGAAAUAGUG